rnacentral:lncRNA from 1 species
ACUGAGAAGAAGAUUGCAGAUGCCGGGGAGCCCUUUUGUUUCUUUCAGAUAGGAACAACAAUUUUCAUUCACAAAGCAGAUUAAAACUCAUCUUUCAAAUGGAUUCACUGUGUUGCCCCCGCUUUGUGUGCAAACGAAAUCACUGUGAUCAGGUGUGGGCAUGAAGUAGCACUAAAUGUUGUUGAUUAGGACAGAAUCACCUGUUUUUAAAGCCCUGCUGGGGGUUGGAAGCCAUUUGCUCCUCUUGUGUUUCUAAGCCUGAGAAGAUCCACGAUCUCCGUGAGUGGGUACUUUAGAUGGGUACAUUCAGGGCACGUGAAUAAAUCUACCUAGAGAGAAAACUGAACAUCCAGACUGGUCUUCCGUAACAGCUGCGAAAGGUCAAACCAAGACCUGAAGACUGAAUUCCAUGUCUGAAGCGGGGGCAUUUUCUUUUCCGUAACAGAUUGAGAGCCUAAGCCCAUUGCCAUUAAGAUGAUGGGCUGCUUUUUCAUCAUGACCAGCAGGCCAAGGUUUGCUCACAAGGUUUUUGGGAACUACAAACCUGUGAACAGUAUGGCAGGGAUGCUGGCUACAUCUGUGUGAAUAAAUUAUCUUGUGAGAUUGCUGAUUUUUAUCAGAGAAGAAGACAGCAAGACAGUUUUGUCAAGUUAUCUUAAAGUGCAGUUUCCUCUACCACUGAAAAAUUAUUUUGAAAAUCAUUUUAGAUUGCUAGAAAAAUACAGUUAUCUGGAACCUAUCUCAUUUAGCUCUUUUAACCCCUUAAAAAUGAAGAGAUAGAUAUGCUUAUAUCUGAGUACUUUUGAAAAUCUUUUGUUACUUUUAAUGUUCUCUUCUCUUACAUUUGUCACUAUAAGAAAUUAAUAUCAAAUAUGGUCAACUUGCUGUUUUAUUCUUCUUUUCCCACCCUUCUCUUCAAACCUCCCCAGUUUCACCUGAAAUUGUUCAACUCUUCUACUCCUGGCUCUUUUGUGAAUAUUUAGUCAUAUAUCAAAUACUGACUGACUUAAACAAUUGUGACAGUCCAAGUAAGUGUGCAUGCCCAAAUGUUGAAGCCUGGAAAAAACAAGCUAGACAAAUAAACAGUCCUUGGUCCAAAG